rnacentral:lncRNA from 1 species
AGUCAAAUGCUAGCUCCUGCUUUUUAAAGUCACAUGGCUUUUGGCUUGUGUUUCAGGUGUUGCCUGAUCAGAUGAAAAUCUCCUCGGAGCCCUUAAAUAAGUUUGAGAAGGAAGACAAUGAGAUUCCUAGUAGCCUUGAAAGACAAACAGAACAGGCAGAAGAAUCCAAUGAACCGGCAGAGUCCAUGAGCGCCGGGGAGGACCGUUGUGUGGUAACUCUCCUCUCGGGCACGCAGUCCUGGCCUCCCGGAAGACUCUGCUUCUGAGGAUGACACAAAACAAGGACGAGGGGUGUCAGACACACAGAAAAAAAGGACACCGGUAAUAAUUUUUGUUAUUUUAAGGUGAUGUUCCUCAAAUUUCAGUAAUUUGCAUACAGCCUUCAAAAUGUGCUAUAGCCCCACUGUUUAUCUAAUUUUUUUAAUUAUAUGAAUUACUUCAAUUUCAAAUGGAGAAUCAGCAUUAUUUCUAGCAAAUAGGCAAACCCCC